GCUUCCGUGGUGUAGUUGGUUAUCACGUCAGUCUCAUAUCUUCAUAUGAGGAACAAGACAACUGUUCCAGUUAUCUGAAGGUCGCCAGUUCGAUCCUGGCCGGGAGCA